AUUGUCAUGCUGGCACAUGGAUGGAAGGAAAUAUAACAAUUUUCAGAAAACCUGUUGACGGUGGGGGGGCCUUGUUUUGCUUGGGUUUUGAUUUUUGGUUUUUCUCUACUGUUGCUGCUCAAUUUAACAUCAAAAUAACAGGGCUAUUAGACUGGCUACCAAGUCCCCAGAUGGCCAUAAAGAGAACUUGGUGCUGUAUUUAUGUGACGGCUGUACCAUAAAAAUGGAUCAGUGGAUGCUUCAAGUGGAGAGUUUGGCUUGAGCUGAGUCCUAUGACCCGACAUGAGCUGGAGCUCAGGAAGGAUUUCAGAAGCUGAACGAUGCAUUUCUGGAAGGGCAAGGAGGAACAGGACUUCUGGAUAAUGCAAAAGGAAACCUGAGACCUGCAGGGUGUUAGGAACAAGGCUCAGUCCAACUUUUCCCCUGUAAGAGGGGCCCAAGGGAUCUGAAAGAGAGCCAAAGGUCUCUGUUCCCUGAAUAUCACCACCACAAGGUUGGACAGACCGGCUCCAGCAUCAAACAAAAGCCCACCAGGAGCAGAUCUUACAUGGGACAUAUCGGUACUGAAAAUUCAGUGUCCGGGAUAGCACUGAAUGCUGCACCAUGCUGCAGUGGAGCAAAACCACAACACGUUCAGAAAACCAGCCCUGGAGACCUCCCCUUCGGUUUCCUCCAACCAUCCUGGACCCUGGGGAGCUGUGAGACCUGCACCGCUGUACAGCCACUUGCCUUUGAAUUUACCAGGUGGAAAGCAUGAAAAAUAGCCUUCCAAAUCCAAACCCAGUUUACCACAGGCAUUACCCAAUCUAUCUUCUGCCAGCUGUGAAAUGGGAAAGACUUAUUGCUGUUGUUAUUCCCUUUCUGAGCACCCAGGAGCCUUUGGGACACCAGGAAGGUCUGACCCAAAGACAGAUGGAGUCCAAGGGAAGUUUUCCAGCAAAGUGAAAAACCCUCCAGAGAAGACACCACAUCUUCACUUCCCUAACAGGAGCUGUUUUCAUGGCCAGUGGUGACCCAACUGGAGAACACCAGGACGGGGCUGGACUUUCAAUACUCAGAAACUGUACUUUUCAACUUACUUCCACUUCCGUAUAUUUUCAUCAUAUGAGAAGGUGCAGAGAAGGAAAAAUGCUGUCCCAAACCCCAGUUUCCUCAGUUUGCCUGUUUGUGUCACUCUGGGAAGAAAGGGACUUUUUUGGCCUGUGGGGAGGGGUAUGGACAAUUUCAAGAAACAGUGCUAAUUAUACCCCAGAACUCUUGUUAAAGUUUUGUUACUUGUUAAGGGCAAACACUGCCACUUCAUUGCCGUCAUGUCAGGCAGGGCAUCACUGGGUCCUCAUCUAACUUCACCAAAAAAUCAAGGGAUAAUGACUUUUUACAUUCAUCACCUUCCUCCCCAGGUGGUUCACCACUGACUGCAUCUCUUGGUAGACUUUGGGAUUUGCAAUGCAAUGCAAUGAAUUGUACCACUGCAUUUUUCCAGAAGCUCAUUUUUAGCACUUACUCAAAUGAGAAAUUCUUCUUCUACUAAGACACUACUAACAGCAUAAGAGAAAAGAAACAGAGUUUAGAGAGCAUUCUGUCUACUGUCUUGUUUUUCUUUCUCUCCUGAAAAGCUGUAAUAACAUACAAUAGUGCCACAGCUAGCUUGCACAUUUUAAAGUCUGAGUUUUUUCAAAGUUGUUUCUAAGCAGCCGUGUCGCUAUGCUGCCUGAGUAGCAAACGUUGUUUUACUACCAUGUGGAAUUUGGGAAGUCAUCAUUAUUCAGUCUUUGUUUUGAUACUACACAUUUGUUUUUACUGAUAUCUGAUUCUUUCUGUGAAAUAGGUUGGGCCUGUUUAAAUGUUGCCACUUUCUGUAAACUAAGUAUAGUUUUGUAACUUAACCAGGUGGUACUUGAAAGGAUCUUAUACAGGAAAAAGAAAAAGAAGAGCAUUUCACUAUGAAUAUAGUACAACACUACAGAAUGCUUAUACAAAACACUGCAACAGAAUAAAAAUAUGUUUUUUUCAAAAGAAAA